rnacentral:rRNA from 1 species
GAUGAACGCUGGCGGCGUGCCUAAUACAUGCAAGUCGAGCGAACAGACGAGGAGCUUGCUCCUCUGACGUUAGCGGCGGACGGGUGAGUAACACGUGGAUAACCUACCUAUAAGACUGGGAUAACUUCGGGAAACCGGAGCUAAUACCGGAUAACAUGUUGAACCGCAUGGUUCAACAGUGAAAGACGGCUUUGCUGUCACUUAUAGCUGGAUCCGCGUCGCAUUAGCUAGUUGGUAAGGUAACGGCUUACCAAGGCAACGAUUCGUAGCCGACCUGAGAGGGUGAUCGGCCACACUGGAACUGAGACACGGUCCAGACUCCUACGGGAGGCAGCAGUAGGGAAUCUUCCGCAAUGGGCGAAAGCCUGACGGAGCAACGCCGCGUGAGUGAAGAAGGUCUUCGGAUCGUAAAACUCUGUUAUUAGGGAAGAACAAAUGUGUAAGUAACUAUGCACGUCUUGACGGUACCUAAUCAGAAAGCCACGGCUAACUACGUG